AAUGAAAACACUAAGGAAGAUGACCUUUCAGUGCAACGAGAUGAAAAUGACCCAGCACUAAUAAAUCUUAGCCAGUGUGCUAAUAAGCCUGUGAAGCAGAAGAAAGAGACAGGGUAAAAUGAAAUCACUUAAUGGUGACUCAAGAAAAUGGAUUAAACACUGGGAAAAAACUGAAUGAUUAAUAUGUCAGUUACAAGUUAACUAAAAAAUAUUUAAGGCUGAAAUAAAAGUAGUGUUAUAGCCGACCAGGUAACUAAUGUUUCACCCUAGGACUAAAUUUUUAAUGAGAGUGAUUGCUAAGAGAAAUUUCUUUUAAAUUUGUACAUAUAGAGCCAUUAUUUUCCUUCCAGUGGAUUUUAAGAGUAGCUAUUGUGAAAUUAAAUAAAAUGACUUUAGUAUGCUGUAUGUGAAUUUUCUCAACCACUUUGAGGUGAAAGGCAUUUGUUCUGUUUUUCCUGCCUGCUAAAGUUACAGUUAUGCAGUGGCCCUACAGCUGCUGGGCUUGGAUGACGGGACUGGGCCCAGUAACAGGGAUCCUGUCCUGAUGAGGGGGACCUACUUGUCCUUUCUGUAUCUGCGUCACCUGAGGAUCCGGGAGCUGCAGCGCAUCUGCUUAGGAAUUCUGAACUAUUUUAGAUCUGUUGAGCGAACACUGACGAUCAACACUUCAGGCCUUACCUUGGUUUCAGGGAGCCUGGUCCCUACCUCAGAAGACAGUUCCUGGGUAAAUAAAGCAAAAGGAGGCAUGGGCACCUCGCAAGGCCUAGGCGCUCACCACUAUGCCCACGGGACACCUGCCGAGCACAGGGUCCAGAGCAUCCAAUUCAUGGAGUUCUCAGAAGUGGAGAACCAGGAUGACUACUACAGUAUGGAUGCUGGUUACAUCCACACCCAGGACCAGCAAGGAGUGUAUGUCAUGUAUGAUGCAGCCUUGAGUGAUCUGAAGGACCUAGAGACAGAACUGCUGCUUGUGGCCAGCCAUUACAUUGAGAGAGAAAAAGGUCACAAAGAGGGCAGCAAGUCACAUAUUGACCAGGACUGGGGAUGGACCCAUGCAGGUGUGGACAGAUUUGCUGUGCUGUAUGACAUGUGGACUUGGGAAGCAACUCUUCUAGAAAGCAAGCGCCAGGUAUUUUUGCCUAGAAAACAAAACACCUAUUAAAAACAUUCUUAUAAAACCCAAUAUAUUUUUUUAAACCCCAUGGGUCUUUUAGGGCAACUCCCAAUGAAGUGAAUAAGUAUUUUAAAAAUCUUAGCUA
ensembl:lncRNA